ACGGCUGCGAGCACCCGUGGUGGACGAGCUCUUGCUCAAGGGCUGAAACUUAUUCUAAAAUCACAAAACUGACGAGAGGAUAAUGUACGCAAAUAGAGUAGUAAGUUCAGAAAAAAAAAGGUUCAGAACUAAAGAUAAAAAAAGGAAAUUUUUAGUCCAACGUACAACUUUGGAUAAUGACAACGAAAUCAUUCUUUUUUAGUCAAGCACAUACAAGUUUGAUAUUACUAAUGAAAGUUCUAUUUUUUCUAUUUUUUUGGCUGUGUAUACAUCCAAAAUGUAAGGUUUCAUAUAGCUCAGCGAAAUGGUUGUUGAACUGAAGAACAAACCAGGGGAAGGUGGAGAGAACAGGGUACCCCGUCUUGGUCAACAGAGCAAAAGAAUGGUGCAAAGUGUGAACAUGAUCUACUGCCAAGAAAAAAGCAAACAAGAGAAGCACAAACACACUGUAGCACAAUUUAUGUGUUUGCUGCUACUUUUUCCCAUUUGACGGAGGAAGAUGGAGAUGGGGCUAUAAGAUGUUGACUGUCAUUGCCCUUCCAAACAUGUCGUUGGUGUCGAACCAUUCACAGUGAGGUUCAGUCCAUAGGAUGCUCGUGAUCCUUGCUCCUUCAGCUCCACUUCGUCGGUGCCGUCAGUCCGUAGGAGUAGGGGCGGCGUGCCCGUCAACAAACAAGAACAGAAAGGGAGCAAUUGGUGCCGAAUUAUGAUGCAGAGGCUGGGGGCACGCCUCCAUUUCCAAAAAACUGGUGCCGAAUGGGCCCCUGGGAGCUAGUCCAACCCACUCGCAGACUGGAGGGUAUGCCGGUUUAUUUCCAACAAAACCAUAUGUACAAUUAGUGUGCUCGUUUGAUAAGGAGACAACAUAGAAGUUAUGGUUGAAGCAAGUCCCUCCGUCCAGUUAUGUCCGAUUUUUGUGAUAGUAGUUCAAAAUGAGGGAUAUAUUGUAUAACUUUUCUGCACUUGUGCCCAGGUUGCUCCAAUGCUUUAUUGGCCUUAGUACUACUGUUUGGAGGAUACAAGAUUUUUUGUGAAAUCAAAUGGGAACCUCUCUCUUGUUGGCAGUUCUGUUACUCCUAUAUCAUUUUUUACAUAGAACUCUAUG